rnacentral:rRNA from 1 species
AGCAGCCGCGGUAAUUCCAGCUCCAAUAGCGUAUAUUAAAGUUGUUGCAGUUAAAAAGCUCGUAGUUGAAUUUCGGGAUCAAUUAAUCGGUCGUGCCUCUGGUACGCACUGGUUUUAUUGGUUUCUCCCUCCUGACGAACCAGGAUGUCAUUAAUUUGGUGUCUUGGAGAAUCAGGACUGUUACUUUGAAAAAUUAGAGUGUUUAAAGCAGGCUAACGCUUGAAUACAUUAGCAUGGAAUAAUGAAAUAGGACGUUUGAUCCUAUUUUGUUGGUUUCUAGGAUCGACGUAAUGAUUAAUAGGGAUAGUUGGGGGCAUUAGUAUUCAAUUGUCAGAGGUGAAAUUCUUGGAUUUAUUGAAGACUAACUACUGCGAAAGCAUUUGCCAAGGAUGUUUUCAUUAAUCAAGAACGAAAGUUAGGGGAUCGAAGACGAUCAGAUACCGUCGUAGUCUUAACCAUAAACUAUGCCGACUAGGGAUCGGAUGAUGUUAAUUUUUAAUGACUCAUUCGGCGCCUUACG